rnacentral:rRNA from 1 species
CCUACGGGAGGCAGCAGUGGGGAAUAUUGCACAAUGGGGGGAACCCUGAUGCAGCGACGCCGCGUGAGUGAAGACGGAUUUCGGUAUGUAAAGCUCUAUCAGCAGGGAAGAAAAUGACGGUACCUGACUAAGAAGCCGCGGCUAACUACGUGGCAGCAGCCGCUGGAAAACGUAAGGCGCCAGCGUUAUCCGGAUUUUCUGGGUGUAAAGGGAGCGUAAACGGUUAUGCAAGUUCGAAGUGAAAGCUCAAGGGUCAACCAUGGGCGUGCCUUGGAAACUGUAAAACUGGAGUGCAGGAGAGGUAAGCGGAAUGCGUAGUGUAGCGGUGAAAUGCAUAGAUAUUAGGAGGAACACCAGUGGCGAAGGCGGCAUACUGGACUGUAACUGACGUUGAGGCUCGAAGGCGUGGGGAGCAAACAGGAUUAGAUACCCCUGUAGUC